rnacentral:rRNA from 1 species
CAUGGCUCAGGACGAACGCUGGCGGCGUGCCUAAUACAUGCAAGUAGAACGCUGAAGAGAGGAGCUUGCUCUUCUUGGAUGAGUUGCGAACGGGUGAGUAACGCGUGGGUAACAUGCCUGGUAGCGGGGGAUAACUAUUGGAAACGCUAGCUAAUACCGCAUGAAAUGGAUUAUCGCAUGAUAAUCGAUUGAAAGGUGCAAAGGCAUCACUACCAGAUGGACCUGCGUUGUAUUAGCUAGUUGGUGAGGUAACGGCUCACCAAGGCGACGAUACAUAGCCGACCUGAGAGGGUGAUCGGCCACACUGGGACUGAGACACGGCCCAGACUCCUACGG